UAAUAAAAAAAAGAUCAAUUUUUUUAGAGAAAAUUUUAUCCUCUCUUCCUCUACUCUCACACCUGCGUCCUUCCUACACUCACCUUCCAUGUUCAUCUUCUUCAAUCUCACUCCACCUAGAAACCGUCGACUUUCUUUGCACCGUCGUCACUCUCAAUCCAUCAAGAACCCUUCUUCUUCUCCUUCUUCUUCUUCUUCUUCUUCUUCUUCUUCUUCUUCUUCUUCUUCUUCUUCUUCUUCUUCUUCUUCUUCUUCUUCUUCGACCUUUCCUCACCAUCCUCUCUCACCCAGAAACUCAUUGAUACGCUAAACCCCAUAGAAUCCCAAUCGAUUAAACCCAAAAUACCAUUUAAACUCAGCCCUUAAAAAUCAAUUGAACCUAGAGAUAGGAAAAAGGAUAUUGUUGGCAGCUGGUGAUACAUUCAGAGCAGCUGCUAGUGAUCAGCUAGAAAUAUGGGCUGAAAUGACUGGGUGUGAGAUUGUUAUGGCUGAAACUGGGAAAGCGAAGGCAUCAGUAGUGCUUUCACAGGCUGUAAAAAGAGGAAAACAGGAAGGUUAUGAUAUUGUAUUAUGUGAUACAUCUGGACAUUCUGGGAAAGAAGGUGCGGUGCCAACGGCGCCGGCAGUGAGGAGAUGAAGAGAGGAAAAUGAAAAACGUUCGAAUUCCUUCCCGGCGGAACUCUCAUCCACUGUCAAAUGCAUCGAGUCACACGAUAAGAUGAGCAAUAUUUUGGCAGAUUAGAUAAUCACGGAUUUGGGAUGUUUAUUAGCAGUCUGAGGUGCAGCCGCAUCAGCAGUAGCACCUGAAUACCGUAAAAAGAAGAUCACUUGGAUAAGGAUCAAAUCAGUUGAGACCUGCAAAUGGAUUGGACUGUACAAAAAUAAUUUGUGAAUGGUUUAAUGCAUCAACCGAAA